rnacentral:lncRNA from 1 species
CAGAGGCCGUGAGCCUUCUCUUAUCCUGUCCCCUUUCUCCUCAUUCACCACAAAGAUCAGCUUUUUCCAGUUAAAAAAAAAAAUCUCUUCCACCCCCUACUACCCCGAGCCCUGGCUGUGCCACUGGUGCUGAUUACCUGCUCUAAUUUCCGACCAGCCAUGGAGCCGCUGAUGUCAAUCACAAAGGCCACGUUCUUAGGCACCACUGGAAGGCCUUGAGGUGCAAAGAAGUGCACGAAGUAGCCAUUGACUAUCUGGAAAGUGGGGAGAGGGACGGAGGCCGGUGUCCUUUUAGCAACACCACAUUGACUAUUCUUGCAGGUAGAAGCCAGACAUUUACCAGCCCAAGAAAAAGACGUUCCUAUCCCACCCUCUAGGGGGUGCUGCACCAGGCUCUAGGCCAUCAGCUGUCCCACAUCCUGCAGGAAAACAGCCUUGGGCUGAGGACCCAGGGUGAUGGCACUAGAUCCAGCUGCAGCCCCCGCCCGACCAGCCCUCGCCCCACCCUGAUGAUGAAUCAGCCAGCCCGGGUACCUGCACGUUGCCAGGAGAUUCUCUGUUCACGUCAUAGGUCUGAGAGGCAUCUACAUC